CCAUUUCUUGACCUUGAGGGGCAGAC
rnacentral:piRNA from 1 species